CAAGGUAAUUUAAAUAUCAAUACAUCCGCUCUUGAUUAAUAAUAUUAUUAAUCUAGACGAAUUCAAUCAAUUUUAAUCAUAUUUACCCUUUUAGCGGUAUAUAAACUACUGCCUGACCUCACAGCAAAAAAACAAAUAAAUGAUAUCGACACAUAAACCGAAGAUAGUCUUACUUUAUGAUGUGUUUAAUUCGAGAUGUUCUAGGACAGAUAUCAAACUGAACGAGCCUAGAAGUGUUAAAAAUACAUAUCCCAAAAUGGAUAUAGAGCAUACUCAAGGAAACAGCUUAUUUUUUAAUGGAUACUCAAGGAAACAACUUGGGUGGGAAUAAUCUGAAUAUAAACAUAAAAUAUGUUAAUAAUAAGAAAUAAAUUAUGAAACACUAAAGACAGCAUCAACUAACAUUGUCAGCAUCCCAAACCCUGACAGUUUUGUCAAAAGAAGAUGUUGCAAGUCUUGCCAUGCUUGGACUGAAACGAACAUCAGUUAUUAGCGACGAGUGCUCCUCAAGUGUCGUUUUUUGCUUCAAGGUAUCAGUAUACCAUAAAACAGCCUGAAACGAAAGAUAGAACAUAAACAGUAAAGUUAUUUCUCCAUAACAACAACGCAUUGCUUCGAUGCUACAGAAAUACACUUUGAACGAAAUCAUUGAUACUUCUACACUAACCUUUUUGUCAUGACCUCCACUAGCUAGCAGUUUUCCAUCAGAGGAAAAGUGACAACAAACAACUUUACUAGCACUAGCCCGAACAGAAUUCACUUCAUUAAAUGUGAACCCUAUAAUCAAAGGUUCUUCUAGUCAGAAUAUACCCCCAUUCAAAAUUCUAGAUAAACUAGGAAGCCAACCCAUUUCCUAGUUGGCAAAUUAUAGAUAAAAUUCAUGUUAUUUGCUAAUAAAAAGCACCAUGAAUCGACUUUAAACAAGAACUCUUCACAACCAACACCCCAUCUGCAAAACAGCAAUUUCAUAAACCUUUAUGAUACAUAUACCAUAGACGUAAAGAGAUAUUAGAAAGUAAAUGCACCACAGAAAGGAAUAUUCUUUUGUUGGUCUCUGGACAACCAUUAAUCUCUUUCCUUUUCUUUUCUUUCUUUUUUAUGGGGCCAGGGAUUAGCUGAACUAGAGGCAUUCUAUAGGACGCAUGCAAGCUUCCAGAAAUCAAAGUACCAAACAAUAAGUUAAGAUCUGAUUUAGAUCUUGAAAGGCUUAGAGAGAUGAAAGCAUUGCAGCUGUCACUGCCUAGUUAAUAGAGCUUCCAUGUAUAAAUUUUACCAUAACUAAAACACAAAAGGAGGAGGCGUCAUAUACAACUGCUGUUUAGUACAAGACUACACAAUAUUCAGGACUAAAUUUUAAGUCACGGAACCAAGUACACCUCACUAACCUUUACUGACAUCCAUACCGCGACCAACUGUAUCCCGAGGAUCGGCCUCGUCGUGAGAUAAAAAUGACUCAACAUUAUCAUCAAGAGAACCAUCAUCCACAAACCGAUCCAUAUCAGCCUGCACAAGAUCUUUGUCAUCCCACUGCCAAAAUUGCAUUCUAUGAGGACUGGAACAACCCAUUAAGGUUUCAUCCACUAGCACAAGAUAAAGUAUUUCUAUUACCAAUUGAUUCGAUGGGGAUGUAAGAGUGCCAUUAUUAUCUGCUCCAAAGAUCAUCAAUGGUUUCGAAGAACUUCCACUAUGUUGCAAGGCAGGCAUUGAAAUCACAUCUCCAGGUGUGUGAGUCGAUGGUGUUGAGGGAGCAGAACUUGGGGAAGGUCCAGCAGUGUUUGCAGUUCCUGAGCUAUUGGCAGGCCCUGAAGAUGAAACAGGAUGUUUUCUCUUUCUCCCAGUCUGGUUUUUUGAAGCCUUGAAAGACAAGAAAAGCAUAUUAGGAAUCUUAACUUCAAGCCUGUGAAGUUGAGAUUCAGAGUCUCCAAUAUGGUAAUCUUUCCAUUGAUCCCUUUUAAGUCAUGAGAGAUCAAGAUGUCCUAUCAAUAAACAUAUUACAUAAUAUUUCUACUUCAUAUUCUAUGGUGCUUGGGAUGAAACAAACUAAACCAUUAAUAGCAUGUUAGGAUCAUCUACCAAAAAAGUAGCAUGUAAGGGUCAGCACAACAACAAUGAAUUAUAUUAACAAGAGAAAUCCUCUAGUUUCAUAGCAACUUUGUUUAUGCGUUUAAUAUUAGCCAAAAAAGUAGCAUGCAAGGAUCAGCACAACCUGUAUGAAUUAUAUUAACAUGAGAGAUCCUCUAGUUUCAUAGCAGCUUUGUAUUAGAUAAGCGUUAACUUGAAAGAGUAUCUUUUCAAACUAGAGAAGUGCUGAAGUCAAAGAUUUGCAAGUUGCAAGAAGGAAAUAAAAGAGAGGGAGGGGGAUAUCCACGACUAUAAACCCAAACACAACAAGGAUACUGCAAAAAAUGCAUUAAUCUUAUCCCUACAAAUAAAUUGGUCACUUUUCUCGAUUGCCUUCUCUUUUGGAUUUUAUAAGGAUUGCCUUCUCUUUUAUCAUUCUUCUCCAAUGUUUCCUCUUCUCCCCCAGGUCUUUUUUCUUCUUUUGUUAAUUCUGUGGAUACUUUUCAUGGGCCCUGUAAUUUCUUUCUUCGUCCCCCCUCCCCCCUCCCCCUCCCCUCUUUUUACUCUUUUGUAAAUUCUCGUGGAUACUUUUCAUGGCCAGUGCUCCUCAAGUGUCGUUUUUUGCUUCAAGGUAUCAGUAUACCAUAAAACAGCCUGAAACGAAAGAUAGAACAUAAACAGUAAAGUUAUUUCUCCAUAACAACAACGC
rnacentral:lncRNA from 1 species